GCCAGCAUGGCGUAAUGGUUUGAGCAUUGGACUACAGCUCUGGAGACGAGGGUUCGAAUUCCCGCUCAGACA
rnacentral:tRNA from 1 species